GACCCAGUGGCACAGUAGGUAGUGCUGUUGCUUCACAGCAAGAAAGUCGCUGGUUCAAGCCUCGGCUGGGUCA
rnacentral:tRNA from 1 species